rnacentral:rRNA from 1 species
UACGUAGGGGGCUAGCGUUGUUCGGAAUCACUGGGCGUAAAGGGAGCGUAGGCGGGAUUAUAAGUUGGGAGUGAAAUAUGGCAGCUUAACUGUCAAAGUGCUUUCAAUACUGUAAUUCUUGAGUAUGGAAGGGGUAGAUGGAAUUCCUGGUGUAGCGGUGGAAUGCGUAGAUAUCAGGAAGAACACCAAUAGCGAAGGCGGUCUACUGGUCCGAUACUGACGCUGAGGCUCGAAAGCCAGGGGAG